ensembl:misc_RNA Metazoa_SRP Metazoan signal recognition particle RNA
GCCGGGUGUGGUGGCGCGUGCCUGUAAUCCCAGCUACUCGGGAGGCUGAGGCAGGAGAAUCGCUUGAACCCAGGAGGCAGAUGUUGGAGUGAGCCGAGAUUGCGCCACUGCACUCCAGCCUGGGUGACAGAGCAAGACUCCGCCUCCA